AUUGAACGCUGGCGGCAUGCCUUACACAUGCAAGUCGAACGGUAACAGGUCUUCGGAUGCUGACGAGUGGCGAACGGGUGAGUAAUACAUCGGAACGUGCCCGAGAGUGGGGGAUAACGAAGCGAAAGUUUUGCUAAUACCGCAUACGAUCUCAGGAUGAAAGCAGGGGACCGCAAGGCCUUGCGCCCACGGAGCGGCCGAUGGCAGAUUAGGUAGUUGGUGGGAUAAAAGCUUACCAAGCCGACGAUCUGUAGCUGGUCUGAGAGGACGACCAGCCACACAGGGACUGAGACACGGCCCAGACUCCUACGGGAGGCAGCAGUGGGGAAUUUUGGACAAUGGGCGCAAGCCUGAUCCAGCCAUGCCGCGUGCAGGAUGAAGGCCUUCGGGUUGUAAACUGCUUUUGUACGGAACGAAAAGACUCCUUCUAAUAAAGGGGGUCCAUGACGGUACCGUAAGAAUAAGCACCGGCUAACUACGUGCCAGCCGCCGCCGUAAAAC
rnacentral:rRNA from 1 species